GGCAGCAAAGGCAGCACAAGUGCUGAGCAUGCAGCAAGUUCUUCCAUUUGUGGGUUUUCUGACCAUCAUAUACUGAUGUUCAGCAGAUCGAGCAAGUCACAUUAGGGAAAAUCCAACCCACCUCAUUCCAGUUGGGCUCCGUGGUGUCCCUGUAAACUCUAGUUUUAGCCUUGUUCACGAAAUACCCGAAAGAAUCCACCUCUAACGUACAGUACAAAUCUGAAGAGGAGAGACAGAAACUUGUAAAAAAUGUCUAGAAUCUCCUAACUUGUGUUCAUCAUUUUCAGGGUGUGUUUUCAUCUGCAUCUUCUUUGUAUUAACACUGAUAACACCAUCCAGCACAAACCUCAUCAUCUGGACCAGCAGAGUUGCUUUCAUCAAGCUGAAGUACCAGCACAGCUGCAUAAAUGACCUCCACACAGACGAGCCUUUCACCUCUAUCAAAAAUCAGGUAACUGCAACUCACUUGAACUUUGCUUGAAUCCUGUGGCAGAGUGGACAAUGACAUUCAGGAAUCCAUAGAGACCUGGGGAUUCAUCAUCUGUACAAAAGAGCCAAGGAAUUUUGUUACAUUCAUGGAGGAGCCAAGAGUGAAAGAGAGUGAUGAGAUUGAUGUUAAAGAGCUGAGGGUGAGAUGUCCCUACAAAGGCUAGCAGGAGCAUGUAAUCCAGCCAUUUCAGCAAGAGAAGACUCAUUCAGGUUCAGUGCUGCUUCCGUAUGUAAUGCCUUCUGGCAAUGUGUGGCUUUUACAGUGUUAUAUUUCUCUGGUCAGCAAGAUAACAUGGAAGAAAUUCAAAGGAGAAGUAGUAAAAUAUAGAGGAAAAGUAGUAAAAUAUAGAGACUAAGUCUAUGCUAGGAGAUUCAAUAGUAAUUUAGGAUGGUCUCUGAUGCAAUUUUGGCCAACUAGUGUUCUUCCAUAGGAUUCCAAGGCUAAGACUUCAACAGGCACUCCAACCCCUGGCAUGAUGUAUGCAUGUAGAGGACGUUCAGUAGUCAACAAAUUGAAAGAUGUCCAGGAAUGUUUUACUAAUUUAGGCAUAGCCAUAUAAUUUGGAGCUUGUAUUUUUAUUGUUGCAGCAAGUAACAUCGAGAUGCCAGCCUGACCUUGUUCCUGCUGCUCUCUUUUUGUACACUAUCAUCUACUUUAACUAAACUACACAAGUUGGGUACACAUGCUCUCAGUUUGUAACUCAUCACCAGGUUGAAGCCUUUGGCAGAAAGAAACAGUAAGAGCAGUGCUAUUGGAAAUGCACAAAGGCAGGCAGAGGCAGGUUUUCAGUGCAGCUGAACCAUGUGAAAGAAUAAAGGUCUCACCUUCCUUAUUGAUAGUAAGGGGAAUGUUGUGGACUGUCUGAAGCUUCACACAGGAGUUUGUCAGCAUCUGGAGUUCCACCGAUGUGAGCGAAAAGCUUUUAAAGCCUACCAAGGAGAGUCAAAGAGGGAGGAAUUAAGAUUCAAAGCAAAGGCUGGAUGCAUGUUUCCUCAAUCUGGGCGUACAUGGGACAGCUGCUCCCUGGGCAAUGCUCAGAAUCAGGACUGUGGUGCCUGGGACUGUAUUGCUGCUGCAGCCCAGCUCUAUUGAGGGCAUAUUUAGUGUCUCUUUAGAGUAAGUCUCAGAGUGGUUCACAGGAACCAGUAGUGCUCUUAUUUGCUUGCAAAGCCAAAACACACCCAUGGCAAAAAUGUUUCUUUGGACUAGAGCCAGAUAAAAGUGUGCAGCUGAUCCUUCUACCUGGAAUUGCACAGAGCUCUAAUCUCUAGGGCAACAGGGAGGAUUUCUCCACACACUUACCAAGUGCUCUCCCUACACAUUCCCUACAUGUUUCUGCAAGCAAAAGCCCCUCAGACAGGCUCAGAUAUGCAGAGACAGAAGACAUCCAUGUUGUGCUGUGGAUUUGAACACAUCUGUCUUUCUGCAGGGAACCCUGCCCACACUCCAUCCUCGGGCCUGCGGCCCUCUACUAAGAUCACAGUAUUUGUACCAAUACCCAGCUGAAGGACACUCACAUUUCUUCUGCUGCUCCCGGAUGUUCUCCCUCCACUCUGCCCUUUCAUAGUCGGAUGAAAUGAGGAAUGUGUAACUCUACCCAGGAAGACAGAAGAAGAGGGGGUAUGCAUUAGUCUGAGUGACCACUGAAACCAGACCUGCUUUCAGGCCAGACAACAGGGCAGAAAGACCUUGUAUAACAGCGUAUACAAACACACACAGCCCAUGACCUCUGACUUGUACACUGAGGGAGACUAGAAGAGCCACCUACCUUGCCAUUGCGAUUGUGUACCCGGAAGGCCAUGUUUGGAGACAUCAGCAAUAGGAGGGAUUCCUGCUCUGACAGCUUCUUUUUCAACCUCUCAAUAACCUUGCUGCCUUUAUUAGCCCUCUGGAGGAUGGGGGAGAGAGGGAGACAGAGGACACGUCAUUCUCCAACAUCUGCCCCUAUUUAUACUGACAGAUAUUUAAAGAUGCACAAUCUCUAUCCUCUGUGAGUAACCAAAUGGGCAGGAAAAAUGCUGCCAGGAGGAUCCACAGGGCUCUCAGCUGCUCAGGAAAUUGUUACCUGCAGCAUCUCUACAUUCAGACUUGGCUCUGUGCCCCAAUUCCAUCUGCCCCAGAUGAAGGUGCAGAGGUGCAUGGCCACUGUCUCAGCUAUACCCUGUACUUUCUGUUCCAGAGGCUGCAACAGCAGCAUGCCAGUGAGCAGCCACAGCACUGCCAGGUCCUCCACAAAUAUCCUUAUUCAAUGAUACUAUAAGGAACUUCUCUAGAAGCUGCCCAGAACUCUCCCACUCACCACCCACUGAUCCAUUUUCAGAGGUCAGCUAAACCCAAGGUUUUUCUUGGAUAAAACCCAGACCCAAACCCAGCCAAGUGUAUUGUUUGGCACUGAUGCACCGAAGUGUGUAUCUCAAGACUCCUGCACCUUGUGAGUAAGAGGCUGCCACACGGUGUUCCUGCUAACAUCUUACUUUUUCCAGGAAGCCCUCUCUGAAAGCCAGCCAGGGAACACAGGCAGAAGUAUGUUAUUUGGAAGCACAGGGGCUAGUCUUCUCAUGGUACAAGCAAUAUUACAGAUAUCCUAUUUUACAGGCUUUUAGGGUUCAAAAUCUUACUACUCUUUCAGGUUCCAGGAAGGCUGAGUCUAACAUCUCUCAGAAAACAUGUCUUGCAAGCAAGGAGAAACCUGGGCCAGAAACAUCAUAUCUGUCUCAGACUGUCCAGUCAGUAUAAUUGGUGUUCUCCAUAUAUUUGCUGGUGCUUUGAUACUGGUGAAGUCAGAAAAAGCUUCACAUAUGUAACUGAGCCUGCAAAAAUUCAGAAGUACGUGGCUUCUGACCAAAAUUAGUUGCAGCAUCAUAAUUUGACAGCCAGAAACCAGCAUGACACACUACCAGUCCACAGCAUAAAAGCCCUGCUCCCCACAUGGAUGCUAAGCAACAGCAGUCAUAGGUAGUUCCAGUAGAGGAGACACUGACUACAAAUACAGGUUCUUUUUGUUCCUGCCUCCUCAUAGGAGACCAUCACUCAAGCAACGCACUAGAACAAGCAAGGAUGGGCUGCAUAUCACUGGUAACAAAGCUGCACCACAAGCCUCUGCUGAACAGUUUGGUUUAAUGUGACUGCUAAAAAUGCUGUGCAGCUCUGGGAAUUCUGCUUCUAUCAGCACCUCAUCUCAGCAGAGACACUGAGUCUGUACCAAAAGCUUUAACCCUUUUUACCUUUUCACGCUGGAUGUCACUCUUGAUCUGGGAUAUCUUGAUCUUCAUGGCAUCCAGCUCCUCAUCAGGUACCAGUGGGAUAUUGGGCACUGCCUCAGAUUCAUCCACCAUUUGGAAACUGAGGUCAGUGAGGGGGAUGUACCAUUUGCAGUCAUAUUGCUGGCUUUUUCUGGAAGAAAGAAGGUCCAAACCUUUUACAGUGUUUGGCAACACCAUCUCCCCUUCCCACAAGUCCUUCCCUGCUAUAGUGCAUAAGAUACAGAACUGGGCACAACUUCACUGUGACCCCCAUGUGGGAAAAGUCUGGCAAAGGGCUGAUCUCCAGCAAGAAAGCCUAAAAGGGACAACAGCCAGUACAGCAUGUAACGAGGCAACUUGUUUUGUUGUCUGUUUCUUUUCAUCCCAAGAAAAUACAGUGAACUUUUGCAAACUC